AUUACCUCAAAUGCAUUUAAAGGUACACAAAUAAAAUAAUAUCAAAUAAUUUAAGCAGUAUAGAUUUUGAUAAACAAUUAUUCAGAUACAUUAAAACUUAAAUACAAGUUACAUUGUGAGUGAUCAUUUCUAUUUUAUGAUCAGUUCUUUACUCUAUUAUUGAAUCCAUAUUUAGAUGAUGUGAAAUCGAAUUGACCAGUUAUGUUUUAGGAUACACUGGGAAGGGGUGAGUGGGCACUGGGAUAGCCCAGGGAAUACAGGCUGAGCAGAAUACCACCAUGGCAAUCAGACCUAGGCAUUGCUAGUGUAGUGAGUGUGUAUGUGCAUUAGUGCUGGUAUGUUCCCAGUGAAUUGACCCUUUACAGCUUUGCUGAGCUCAGACUAAAAAUGAUUUUCUGCAUUUUAUGCGAAGAGACCAACUGAAAGGCAGGGGUGCAGGGGUGGUUUCCAUCUGUGGCAGUGAGCUGUCUAUAUAAUGGGGAGCUAUUAUCAGCAAGACACAAGUGCUAAUUACCAGUCACAGCUAUAGGGGAGGGGGCUGGGCACUGAGAGACGAAUAAUAGUGGUGGGAAUGGAAAGGACAGAGAGAUAAAUAAAAUGCACCCUAAAAUUAAGAGAAAAGUCAACAGUUAUCAUGGUAGGUGGAGGGGGAGGACAGUAAGAAAACAAUGCUGCAAAAAAUAAAAAUAAAAUGUUUAAUAUUUAGAUUAUUUUUUUCUUGAAACACAACACUGUAAUUAAAUGUAAUGUAAAUAUCACUGAUGACAUAUACACAAUAAAUAGGGUUCUCAUUGUACUGGGAAUUUUCUGUGAAUGUAUUUUCUGUUUAAAAUGUAUAUACAUGUUUAGGCAUAUGGAAGAAUAGAGAACCUUACAUUUAUUGAAGCAUUUUGAAAAAUCUUAUUUUAACAUUUUGCUCUGAAGUUACAAAGUAAACACAUCAUUAUUAUUGCUAGGCAUGGUUAACGUUGUGAUUGCAUUAUAUGAACUUUGUUUUGUGGAUUUAUAAGUGUAAAUUAUGGCACAUUGAGGGAGAAAAAAAAAUCAGAUUGCAGCUUCAUUAAGGCAUUGGAGGAACAAUGAAAUCACAGGCACAUUAGCCCACCUGAGCUUAAAGAAACUCUUCUAGAGUGUUAUUUACUAAGCUUCGAAUUGCUGCGAAUUAGUUCAAAUGGUUAAAUCCUUGCAAAAAGUAUAAUAUGAAGAUUUUCUGCAAAUCAGCCAUAGACACAGUUUAGCAAAGUUAGUCUUAAAUGUGCCAUGCGAAGUUUAGUUAAUAAACACGUGUGUAGUUAAACCAUGAAUUAGAUCCCAGCUUGGUGUAGUGGCAGUCAGGGUGCUGUCCAGUGUGAUGGUGCUGAAAUGUACUGCGAUUUGUUUAAAUUCACUGCAUUGCUUUGUCAACAGUUAAGAUCCAUUGAAAUAUUAUAUGACCGCUUUUAGCAAAGACAUUUUAACGAAUGACACUUUCAGAUUCAAUAAUGGUGCUUUUUUGUGAAUAUACCUGGACAGUAAUCAAAAUAAAAAAUUUCACACAAAGAGUUGAAUCCAGUCUGUUUAAAUGUGGUUCAAAUUCCCUGUACGAAAUUUUAUUCCCAUAUGUGAC
rnacentral:lncRNA from 1 species